AUUAGAUAAAGAACCAAUAUUUUUGGUGACUCAUAAUAACUUUACGGAUCACAUUUUUGUGACAUAUCAUUCAAGUUUCUGACCUAUCAGCUUUAGACGGUAGGGUAUUGGCCUACCGUGGCUAUGACGGGUAACGGGGAAUUAGGGUUCGAUUCCGGAGAGGGAGCCUGAGAAACGGCUACCACAUCUAAGGAAGGCAGCAGGCGCGCAAAUUACCCAAUCCUAAUACAGGGAGGUAGUGACAAGAAAUAACAAUACAGGGCCUAACGGUCUUGUAAUUGGAAUGAGUUAAGUAUAAACCCCUUUACAAGUAUCAAUUGGAGGGCAAGUCUGGUGCCAGCAGCCGCGGUAAUUCCAGCUCCAAUAGCGUAUAUUAAAGUUGUUGCAGUUAAAAAGCUCGUAGUUGGAUUUCUGUUAAUUCUUAUAUUUUAUACUACGGUAUUUAUAUAACAUUAACAUAAUUCAUAUUACUUUUUUUAGUAUAUGAAAUUUUACUUUGAGAAAAUUAGAGUGCUUAAAGCAGGCAUUUGCCUUGAAUACUCCAGCAUGGAAUAAUAUUUAAGAUUUUUAUCUUUCUUAUUGGUUCUAAGAUAAAAAUAAUGAUUAAUAGGGACAGUUGGGGGCAUUUGUAUUUAACAGUCAGAGGUGAAAUUCUUAGAUUUGUUAAAGACAAACUACUGCGAAAGCAUUUGCCAAGGAUGUUUUCAUUAAUCAAGAACGAAAGUUAGGGGAUCGAAGACGAUCAGAUACCGUCGUAGUCUUAACCAU
rnacentral:rRNA from 1 species